rnacentral:tRNA from 1 species
CAGGGGAUAGUGUAGCCAGUUCGCACUCGGGUCUGUGAAGCCCGCAGGGUGGGUGCAAGUCCCACGUCCCUGACCA